rnacentral:tRNA from 1 species
GCAUUGGUGGUUCAGCGAUAGAAUGCUCACCUUCCGUGCAAGAGACCCGGGUUCCAUUCCCUGCCGAUGCA